rnacentral:rRNA from 1 species
AUUGAACGCUGGCGGCAUGCUUUACACAUGCAAGUCGAACGGCAGCGCGGGGCAACCUGGCGGCGAGUGGCGAACGGGUGAGUAAUAUAUCGGAACGUACCCAGAAGUGGGGGAUAACGUAGCGAAAGUUACGCUAAUACCGCAUACGAUCUACGGAUGAAAGUAGGGGACCGCAAGGCCUUAUGCUUUUGGAGCGGCCGAUAUCUGAUUAGCUAGUUGGUGAGGUAAAGGCUCACCAAGGCGACGAUCAGUAGCUGGUCUGAGAGGACGACCAGCCACACUGGAACUGAGACACGGUCCAGACUCCUAUGGGAGGCAGCAGUGGGGAAUUUUGGACAAUGGGCGCAAGCCUGAUCCAGCAAUGCCGCGUGAGUGAAGAAGGCCUUCGGGUUGUAAAGCUCUUUUGUCAGGGAAGAAACGGUAGAGGCUAAUAUCCUUUGCUAAUGACGGUACCUGAAGAAUAAGCACCGGCUAACUACGUG